rnacentral:rRNA from 1 species
UACGAAGGGGGCUAGCGUUGUUCGGAAUUACUGGUCGUAAAGCGCACGUAGGCGGGUUGUUAAGUCAGGGGUGAAAUCCUGGAGCUCAACUCCAGAACUGCCUUUGAUACUGGCAACCUAGAGACUGGAAGAGGUUAGUGGAAUUCCCAGUGUAGAGGUGAAAUUCGUAGAUAUUGGGAAGAACACCAGUGGCGAAGGCGGCUAACUGGUCCAGCACUGACGCUGAGGUGCGAAAGCGUGGGGAGCAAACAGG